GCUUUUGGGCGUUUGGCAUGCACGUCCAGCGGAAGAUUUACUCUCGAUUAUGCACAAGCGCCGAAAUCCUGUGUAUGCUUAGGAAUCUGCCUAUUGGAGGAGAACAACAUUCCGAAAGGAACGGUAAUACCGCAUACGCCCUGUUUUGAAAGCAGACGAUCUUCGGACCUUGCGCUAAUACAAGAGCCUACUCCGGGCUCGCCAGGUGGUGGGCUAACGGGCGACCAGGGCGACGAUCGGGGCCGGGUCAAAAAAAUUAAAGAAAAAAACUGCUACUGAAACAGGGCCAAAAAAAAGACUGCAUUCUACGGUAGGGAGUAUGGGGUAUUGGCCUUCCUUUCGGAACGUUGUCGCCGACUAAUAGACAGAUUCCUUUGGAUUACUCACCCGUCCGCCGCUAGGUCAGGCUCCUAGAUAUCUUUCCUAGCUCGACUUGCAUGUGUUAAAGAAGCCGCCCGCGUUAAUUCUGAGCCAGGAUCAAAAAAAUAAA
rnacentral:rRNA from 1 species